CCUACGGGGUGCAGCAGUGGGGAAUAUUGCACAAUGGGCGAAAGUCUGAUGCAGCAACGCCGCGUGAGCGAUGAAGGCCUUCGGGUCGUAAAGCUCUGUCCUCAAGGAAGAUAAUGACGGUACUUGAGGAGGACGCCCCGGCUAACUACGUGCCAGCAGCCGCGGUAAUACGUCGGGGGCUAGCGUUAUCCGGAAUUACUGGGCGUAAAGGGUGCGUAGGUGGUUUCUUAGGUCAGAGGUGAAAGGCUAAGGCUAAACCGUAGUAAGCCUUUGAUACUGUGGAAAUUGAGUGCAGUAGAGGAGAGUGGAAUUCAUGGUGUAGCGGUGAAAUGCGUAGAUAUUAGGAGGAACACCAGUUGCGAAGGCGACUCUCUGGACUGUAACUGACACUGAGGCACGAAAGCGUGGGGAGCAAACAGGAUUAGAUACCCCAGUAGUC
rnacentral:rRNA from 1 species